GGAUCCAGACUUUGAUUCUGGCUCAGGACGAACGCUGGCGGCGUGCUUAACACAUGCAAGUCGAACGAGAAGAGAUGAGAAGCUUGCUUCUUAUUGAUUCGAGUGGCAAACGGGUGAGUAACGCGUAAGCAACCUGCCCUCUAGAUGGGGACAACAGCUGGAAACGGCUGCUAAUACCGAAUACGUUCUUUCUGUCGCAUGGCAGAAGGAAGAAAGGGAGGCUCUUCGGAGCUUUCGCUGGAGGAGGGGCUUGCGUCUGAUUAGCUAGUUGGAGGGGUAACGGCCCACCAAGGCGACGAUCAGUAGCCGGUCUGAGAGGAUGAACGGCCACAUUGGGACUGAGACACGGCCCAGACUCCUACGGGAGGCAGCAGUGGGGAAUCUUCCGCAAUGGACGAAAGUCUGACGGA
rnacentral:rRNA from 1 species